rnacentral:tRNA from 1 species
GCGCCUGUAGCUCAGUGGAUUAGAGCAUCAGCUUGCGGUGCUGGGGGUCGCAGGUUCGAAUCCUGCCAGGCGCACCA